rnacentral:miRNA from 1 species
UCGGCAACAAAAAACUGCCUUGA